rnacentral:rRNA from 1 species
UACGUAGGGGGCAAGCGUUGUCCGGAUUUAUUGGGCGUAAAGAGCGUGUAGGCGGCUUUACAGGUCCGUUGUGAAAACUCGAGGCUCAACCUCGAGACGCCGGUGGAAACCGUAAGGCUAGAGUCCGGAAGAGGAGAGUGGAAUUCCUGGUGUAGCGGUGAAAUGCGCAGAUAUCAGGAGGAACACCCGUGGCGAAAGCGGCUCUCUGGGACGGUACUGGCGCUGAGACGCGAAAGCGUGGGGAGCAAACAGG